AGCAACGACCCGAAAUAAGAAUCAUUUACGAUACUGGUGCAUCAUAAAUCUUUGUCGAAUUCAUUGUGAAACUUAUUAUGAAAAUUGUCAACGAAUUUAUGUUUACCAGAUGCGAUCACGAGCGCUUCGUGAAUUAUAACAAGUACACACGUCCGCGACUUGAUUAUGAGGAAAACAAUUUAAUGAAAAUGGCCACGAGGGAUGAAUCAUUCUUCAAUUUUCUAUAUCGCAUUCCAUCGACGAAAAGAAUCUCUGCAGCUCUGAUAGAAUAUAGCGAUGCGAUUUGACUUUUGGAAAUCCUGAUGACACUUUUACGAAUUUUCAUCAUCCUUCGCCGCUGCAGUAAUCCUCGCGCG
rnacentral:misc_RNA from 1 species